rnacentral:rRNA from 1 species
CCGCGGUAAUUCCAGCUCCAAUAGCGUAUAUUAAAGUUGUUGCAGUUAAAAAGCUCGUAGUUGGAUCUCGGGUCCGGGCUCGCGGUCCACCUCGCGGUGGUUACUGCCCGUCCCGACCUACCUACCGGUUUUCCCUUGGUGCUCUUAACUGAGUGUCUCGGGUGGCCGGAACGUUUACUUUGAAAAAAUUAGAGUGUUCAAAGCAGGCGCUUCGCCUGAAUAAUGUUGCAUGGAAUAAUGGAAUAGGACCUCGGUUCUAUUUUGUUGGUUUUCGGAACUCGAGGUAAUGAUUAAGAGGGACAGACGGGGGCAUUCGUAUGAUGGUGUUAGAGGUGAAAUUCUUGGAUCGCCGUCAGACGAACUACUGCGAAAGCAUUUGCCAAGAAUGUUUUCAUUAAUCAAGAACGAAAGUCAGAGGUUCGAAGACGAUCAGAUACCGUCCUAGUUCUGACCAUAAACGAUGCCGACUAGCGAUCCGCCGGAGUUGUUUCAAUGACCCGGCGGGCAGCUUCCGGGAAACCAAAGUCUUUGGGUUCCGGGGGAAGUAUGGUUGCAAAGCUGAAACUUAAAGGAAUUGACGGAAGGGCACCACCAGGAGUGGAGCCUGCGGCUUAAUUUGACUCAACACGGGAAAGCUUACCCGGCCCGGACACCGUAAGGAUUGACAGAUUGAGAGCUCUUUCUUGAUUCGGUGGGUGGUGGUGCAUGGCCGUUCUUAGUUGGUGGAGCGAUUUGUCUGGUUAAUUCCGAUAACGAACGAGACUCUAGCCUAUUAAAUAGUUCGCCGAUUUCGAUCUGUCGGCGUUAACUUCUUAGAGGGACAAGUGGCUUUUAGCCACGCGAGAUUGAGCAAUAACA